rnacentral:piRNA from 2 species
AUUAAGUGGAUUUUUGGAACUAGGA